UACGUAGGGGGCAAGCGUUAUCCGGAAUUACUGGGUGUAAAGGGAGCGUAGACGGUAAUGUAAGUCUGGAGUGAAAGGCGGGGGCCCAACCCCCGGACUGCUCUGGAAACUAUGUUACUAGAGUGCAGGAGAGGUAAGCGGAAUUCCUAGUGUAGCGGUGAAAUGCGUAGAUAUUAGGAGGAACACCAGUGGCGAAGGCGGCUUACUGGACUGUAACUGACGUUGAGGCUCGAAAGCGUGGGUAGCGAACAGG
rnacentral:rRNA from 1 species